rnacentral:lncRNA from 1 species
ACAUGGCACGGACAUGGCGAAACGGUGAAAUGGAAAUGGGAAAAUCUCAUUUUCAAAAAGUUGGAUACGGGAAGGAAUGUGGGGAAGCGUGUAAAUAUUAAAAUAUAGGGUACAUCCAUAAUUCUAAAAUAUAUAUAUAUAUUUAUAAAACAUUUAACGUAUAUACCUAUCCUUAAUUACAUAUUUGUGUUAUAUAGAAUUUACAAGUUUCAAUCCGGAUUAUCAUUCGACAAAUUACAUUUGAGGCAUAUAAUUUAUUUAGGUAGCAUCUACUAAAAAUAUUAAAACACCACUAAAAAUGAAAACGAGGCACAAGAUUUAAGAUUUAUCUCUAUGUAGGCAAUUCCUAGCCUUUAUUUAAAACAGGUUUCUGAUUUUCUUUUAGCCGAAACGCGUUUCUAUUUUUUUUUUUUCUACCAAAAAUAUCCCUGAAACUUUUAAAUAUUUACAUAAAUGACCCCAAAACAUUUCCGACAUGGUGUUUCGGUUUUCGAAACAUGGAAACGUAUGUGUAUAGAAGUUUCCGUGUAUAUUAAUAAUUAAUAUGUUAGCUAUCAGCACUUACCGAGCUACUCCCUCUGUCCCAUAUUAUAUGUCUUUUUAGAGAGUUUUUCUUGUCCCAAAUUAUUUGUCAUUUUAGAUUUUCAAUGCAUCAUUAAUUGCAUUAUUUUCAAUUUUACCCUUUUAUCAUUCCUAAUUAGUUAAGUUGUAAAACAAUUAAUGUCAAGGAUAUAUUAGUAAUUUCCUAUGUUUUUUACUAUAAUCUAUACACAUUUAUUGAUUUUCUUAAUAUGUGUGAAACAACCCAAAACGUCAUUUAAAUUGGGACGGAGGGAGUAGUUCAAUUGUUCUGCUUCUCCCCUGCCACUAACACCGCCGCUGGUUGCGGUGGUGCCGCCGCCGCGGCGCCGCCUACCAUACAGCCAUAUAUAUACAUACAUCAUCGAAGAACCCUUCUUCCGAUCGACAUAUACAUACACAUUCGAUUUAUUAUCAACUGGAAGAAGGGUCCUUUGAUGGUGUAUUUCAUGGCAUAUAAUUUUGUAUGUAAAUAUAUUAUAUUUUUGUUGCUUUUAUCAAAGGGAAUAAGGCUAAUUUUAGGGUUGUAAUUGAUGGUUUAAUAUUAUGGCUAUCUUUGUGUGCACAUAAUUGUGAAAAUUGUACGAAUAUAUGCUAUUUAUAUGCCUCUAUUGAUGCACAUCAUUUAAUAUAUAUACAUGUAUAAAUAAAUAUAUAAAUAUUAAUUGGCUGUUUUUUAAGUUAGGUGUUGAAAUAUUUGAUUAAUGGGAAAAUUAUAGUUUUUGUCACUCGAGUUUGGACUGGUUUUACAUUUGGUCCCCGUGUAUAAAUAUUUGAUAUUUUUAGUGCGUAGAAGAUAAAUUUACGAUCCUGCAUCGUUAUGAUAUAGCAAAUAUUAUACAUGAUCCAGGUAUUGCCUUGUUUGAGGGAAAAAUCGAACGAAAAUCCGUUGAGAGAAUUCUUGAGAAGAUGGAGAAAUCACAAAACUAUGACAAAGUGGCUCUCGGUAUUCUUACUAUAUACCGAGUAGGAAAACUGCGUUGACUUGUAGAAACCGGCCACUCGAUAUUCUUUAAUCUGGCUCAUGAUAAAUUUCUCCGAAAAUUUUAAUGUUUCGUUCCGUUCGGUUUUUUUCUUCAUUCUGCUGCUGUUUUGUAUAUAAAUCGGUUUUUUUCAUUCAUGAUGGACUUACUUACUCUGCUUUAGGUUUACGUGGAAUUCGUAAAAGAUCGAGUUCGUGAUACUAUUACAUCAUCUCGGUAAGUUCUUGAGUAACUAUUCAACCAAGUGCAUUACAUGUUAAAUCUAAUACGUAUAAUAAAUCAUCGGGUUUUUGUAAUAUUCGAUGAUGUACUGAUUAAAGAAACCACACAGAUUCGUGAGGAACAGAUCGAUGUGAAAGAAGUCCUCGGAUUUUGUGAGGAAAUCAACGGUGUAGAUGCAUCAAAAAAAUAUGCUAAAGAUAUCGAAGAAGCGAUUACCAAUUCUAGGUUUAAUUGUUUAAGGUUAGUCCCGAAUCAUUAUUUAUUGCGUUUUAUCGAGUUUUUCUUAACUAACUGUGGUGAAAAUUAAAUUGUCUUUGCAACAACAGGCUGUGAGACUUGGAUUGUUACAUGCAUUGUUGCUCAAGGUACAUGCAGGAAUGCUUCAAGGAAGAGAAGCCCUUUUCAUGAUGAUUAGUGUUCUUAUUUGGUUUUGUAGUUAGUAGAUAAAUAGGAUUGAUUAUUUAAAAGUCAGAAGUAAAAUAUACCUUAAAUCAGAAUAAAAAUAUUUUUUUUUUGUAAAA